AACGAACGCUGGCGGCACGUUUUAAGCAUGCAAGUCGAACGGCAGUGGGGGCAACCCCAUGAGAGUGGCGAACGGGUGAGUAACACGUAGGUGAUCUGCCUUUGGGUUGGGGAUAGCUUGUGGAAACACAGGGUAAUACCGAAUGAGCUGACGAGGCUUUGGCCAUGUUAGUAAAGGUGCUACGGCACCGCCUAGAGAGGAGCCUGCGGCUGAUUAGCUAGUUGGUGGGGUAAAGGCCUACCAAGGCGACGAUCAGUAGCCGGCCUGGGAGGGUGUACGGCCACACUGGAACUGGGACACGGUCCAGACUCCUACGGGAGGCAGCAGCUAAGAAUCUUCCGCAAUGGGCGAAAGCCUGACGGAGCGAUGCCGCGUGAUCGAUGAAGGUCGAGAGAUUGUAAAGAUCUUUUCCAACUGAGGAAUAAGUGGACCAGGGAAUGGGUUCAUGAUGACGUUAAGUUGGGAAUAAGCCCCGGCUAAUUACGUGCCAGCAGCCGCCGCGG
rnacentral:rRNA from 1 species